rnacentral:rRNA from 1 species
GAGUUUGAUCCUGGCUCAGGAUGAACGCUAGCGGCAGGCUUAACACAUGCAAGUCGAACGGUAACAGAGAAGAGCUUGCUCUUUUGCUGACGAGUGGCGCACGGGUGCGUAACGCGUAUACAAUCUACCUUUUACAGGGGUAUAGCCUUUAGAAAUGAAGAUUAACACCCCAUAGUAUCUAAUUAUCUCAUGGUAUUUAGAUUAAAACUUCGGUGGUAAAAGAUGAGUAUGCGUUCUAUUAGCUAGAUGGUAAGGUAACGGCUUACCAUGGCGACGAUAGAUAGGGGCCCUGAGAGGGGGAUCCCCCACACUGGUACUGAGACACGGACCAGACUCCUACGGGAGGCAGCAGUGAGGAAUAUUGGACAAUGGGCGAGAGCCUGAUCCAGCCAUGCCGCGUGCAGGAUGACUGCCCUAUGGGUUGUAAACUGCUUUUAUAUAGGAAGAAACCUUUCCACGUGUGGAAAGCUGACGGUACUAUAAGAAUAAGGAUCGGCUAACUCCGUGCCAGCAGCCGCGGUAAUACGGAGGAUCCAAGCGUUAUCCGGAAUCAUUGGGUUUAAAGGGUCCGUAGGUGGAUAAUUAAGUCAGAGGUGAAAUCCUGCAGCUCAACUGUAGAAUUGCCUUUGAUACUGGUUAUCUUGAAUUAUUGUGAAGUGGUUAGAAUAUGUAGUGUAGCGGUGAAAUGCAUAGAUAUUACAUAGAAUACCAAUUGCGAAGGCAGAUCACUAACAAUAUAUUGACACUGAUG